rnacentral:rRNA from 1 species
GUCCUUUUGGAUUUUUAUUUAAGGUCUAGUCUGCCCACUGAAUUUAAAUUUUAAAUGGCCGCAGUAUUUUGACUGUGCAAAGGUAGCAUAAUCAAUAGUUUUUUAAUUAAAAGCUUGUAUGAAAGGCUGGACGAGGUAAGAUCUGUCUCUAUUUAAAUUAAUAUAGAAUUUAACUUUUAAGUUAAAAGGCUUAAAUAUAGUUAAAAGACGAGAAGACCCUAUAGAUCUUUAUAAUUUGUUAAUUAAAGUUGAUUUAGAAAUAUUAAUGUUUUAUUUAAUUAAAUUAUUUUAUUGGGGUAAUAGAAAGAUUGAAUUAAUUCUUUUUUGUAAUAAACAUUAAUUUAUGAAUGUUAGAUGAUCCAGUUUUACUGAUUAUAAGAUUAAGUUACCUUAGGGAUAACAGCGUAAUUUUUUUAGAGAGUUCAUAUCGAUAAAAAAGCUUGCGACCUCGAUGUUGGAUUAAAGAUUAUUUUAGGUGUAGAAGCUUAAUAAUUUUGGUCUGUUCGACCAUUAAAUCUUUAC